rnacentral:rRNA from 1 species
GAUGAACGCUGGCGGCGUGCCCAAUACAUGCAAGUCGAGCGAACGGACGAGAAGCUUGCUUCUCUGGUGUUAGCGGCGGACGGGUGAGUAGCACGUGGAUAACCUACCUAUAAGACUGGGAUAACUUCGGGAAACCGGAGCUAAUACCGGAUAAUAUUUUGAACCGCAUGGUUCAAAAGUGAAAGACGGUCUUGCUGUCACUUAUAGAUGGAUCCGCGCUGCAUUAGCUAGUUGGUAAGGUAACGGCUUACCAAGGCAACGAUGCAUAGCCGACCUGAGAGGGUGAUCGGCCACACUGGAACUGAGACACGGUCCAGACUCCUACGGGAGGCAGCAGUAGGGAAUCUUCCGCAAUGGGCGAAAGCCUGACGGAGCAACGCCGCGUGAGUGAUGAAGGUCUUCGGAUCGUAAAACUCUGUUAUUAGGGAAGAACAUAUGUGUAAGUAACUGUGCACAUCUUGACGGUACCUAAUCAGAAAGCCACGGCUAACUACGUG